ACUCAGCAUAACGCUUACAAAUCCCAGAUUACGCCAAACUAUACAAACCCUCAUUACAAGACGUACAAAUCUGCAAUUACAAUACAUCUUCAUAUCCAUAGCUAUCAACGUGACUACAGACUACCAGUAUCAAUGCAACUAAUACCUUCAAAAAUUCAUUGUACCAUACCGAAAACUUUGAAAAAUAUAAAAGUAAAUAAAACACUAACGAUAUCUGCGAAGAGAUAACGUGUUGUGACGGAGCCAGGUGGCAUGUUGAGGGGAGUUGUUAUAACGGUGGCCCUUGCCGAUACCACGAGACUUCUUACCAAUGGAGGUAAGACCACGAGACUCACGGUGCUUGUGAACGGGGUUGACGAUCCAGUUAAUACGAGGAUCGCGGCGAAUAGCCUUGUGAGAGGGAUCAACGAGAAUCACCUCAAAGAACUUAUAGGUUGCGUCUUGGUUGACCCAGUAAGAGUUCAAAACACGCAAAUUGGAGCAGUAGCGACCAACACGUUCCUCAGCAGUGCAACGAGCAGAGCGUUGGUAUUUGAGAUGGUUAACACCCUGAUGAACAGGCUUACCAUAGGUUUGACCCUUGGGAACUGGGCGCUUACGACCACCACGGCGAACACGAAUACGAUAAAUAACAUAUCCUUGCUUGGCCUUGUAUCCCAAACGGCGAGCCUUAUCAGGACGAGAAGGACGACUGGCACGAUGAAUCACAUUCAUCUGACGGUAUUCCCAAGCACGCACACGGGACAAAAAAAGGUUAACAUCAGAUUGCUUCUUCUUAGCAAGUUCCUCCAAGUAUUUAUAAGCACCCAUCUUUUCUUAUUUUUGUGUCCUUCUUUAACGGCAGAAUGAAGUGACGGCAAGUUUUCCCCUUCUGAAAAGUUUCGAUAUUAGAGCAAAUUGUGACUGCUCCUGCCAACACCAAAUUUUUACAAUUAACACUUUAUCGAGAGCAAGACACCAAAAUACUCUUAGUGUAUUGCAUUUCUUUAUAGGUUACCAAAUUUUAAUUUGAUUAAAAAUAAUUUAAGCUGUCUUGUACUAGAAUAUUUUUCUGUAUAUAAUAAUCCAACAUUCUUUUUCCUAUUAUUCUACUAAGAUUGCGUUUUCUAAAAUUGCAAAAUAAGCUAACUUAAAUACCUUGUUGAUACUUUUUCUCUUACAAGGCUUUGAAGAUUUCUUCGUACCUGGUAUGUCAACGUAAGGACUUGAUGAAAAAAACUAUAGAAUUGCAGAGACAACAAUUUAUCAAAAUU